GGAUAUGAGGAUUAUCUGGCUGCAACAUCUGUUACCCCUCAUGGCCAGUGUUGAUUUGGCCUAUCUGGCUGACUAGGCAGGUGUUCCUUUCCUUCCUCACUGCUUCAUGUGUGUCCUUUCUGAGGCUGCACUCUUAGUCCAAAUAGAGACGGACAAGGGUAUAAGAGUAGCGAGUAGCUGUGCUCGCCUGCUAGAACCUCCAAACAAGCUCUCAAGAAGACUGAUGAUUUUGAUCAAGGUUCAGCUAGAGAAAUGGGAGGCUGGGGAGGAGGUAGAUAGCAUAAUGAUUAUGU
rfam:Erinaceus europaeus unplaced genomic scaffold scaffold00495, whole genome shotgun sequence